rnacentral:lncRNA from 1 species
CCUGGGCUCUGAACAGAGACUCAUAUCUACCUCCCACUUCAACCUUCUUCUUCUUAAGGCAGGUUCCAUUCUUGUGCCUUUCACUUGGCCCAUCUGCUACCUAUAGCCAAAUCUUGCAUCACCUAUCACGCAAGAUAUGCAGUAGCCUAUAAUUCUUCCCUACCUUGUCUUUCCCUGACCAGGCUACCUGUAUCUACCAGGUCCUAACAUUACUGUCAGGAUAGUCUUCCCUGGGGAUAUCUUCUUCCCACCAGGCCCUUACUAAGGUCUUGGGGACCCUGGAACUUUUGUGACUGAGUCAUGAAUAAAUCAGAUUAUAGCCUUAAAUGAAGGCCUGAGCCUGGUCUCCUCCCCCACCACAUUAUCUUGCUUCUACAGUCACAAUUCAGACUGGAAUUAAUUAGGUAGUACACGUUUUUCAGGUACAGCAUAACCUUUCCACGGGGAACUCUGACUGACAGAUUCUAAUUUAUAAGCUUUAUUCUGGUGCAUAGGCAAACACUGCAAUGCUCAGACUGUAUCUUUUGAAGGUUAUAGCAUUUAGACCCCAAAGCUCUUAAUUUUAUUGGAAAUGGGAGAAAAAAUGUCAUACAAAUAUUUCAUUUUGAAGCAUAAUGACACCUCUUACUGCAGUAAUUUCCACCCACCCACUUGCAUCGUAAUUUGAGAGUCAGUCACAGAAGGGCCCAACUCCCUGCUAUGUCUUUUUCUGGUGUCCUAAAGCACAGAAGUGGGCUUCCUCUUCCCCCCAUGACGGUUUACAGAAUAUCGUCUUCCCUGUGUACACAUAGACUGAGGAGAGGAAGGCCAUUUUGAUGCAAACUGGAGCAUACUUACAAAUAUAAUGGAGACAUUAAAACUUAUUCUUAAGCUAGAGUUCCCUGGUAGGCUAGGUGGCAGAAGCACUCUGAUCAUCCCAGCCUACAUGUAGUAAAUGUUGCCUAUAAGGAAUAGAAGAAAGAGAAACUAACAAGCAGAGGAGCACACAGAGUCUGGUACAAAGAGCUAAGGGGAGAGAACUUAGAAUCCCAAGAGGACCGCUGUACAGAAAACUUCAGUGAGAAGGGCAGAAAUGUAAGCUUAGGGGGCAAAGCAGAUUAUGCUGAUUAAAGCAGAAAUUAGUUGAGAAUUGAAUGGGAAAUAGCGGAGCUGAUGUCUGGGUAAAACUUGAAUUGGAGGAAACAGUGGGCAUGCAGACUGGAGAGAAUAGAAUACAAAUCAGAGUUGGAAGAGCUGCCUGAGAGCCAGUUGUAGCCAAAACUGUUGUGGCAUCCAAACUUAUCAGAAAUCACUAUGUUUCUUUGAAUAUGAGAGGGGAAGAGUAAGCCUAUAUCAGAAAUGGACUGGUUUUUAUAGCCAGAAGUUUAACUUGAACUUUCUAUCAGAGUGCAUAUGUGUGGGUCACUACAAGGACAGAAUUUGUCCUUGUCAGUGCAAGAAGUUCGGACUUUGCCCACAAAAAUUCUGGCUAAGAGGUUGCAAAUAACAGCUUAAGGAGCUAGGUGCUAAAGAAAAAAAUGGUUAAGGAGGACUUUCUCAACUUUUAUUUCCUUAUAAAGCCUUCUCUUUGGCUCCUCUUCUCUUCUUCUCCCCUAGAAUUCUUAAUCACAGUCAGGCAUACCUGAGUUCUAGUCCUGAUUCCAUAAUCAAAUGAUAGUGGAUGAAUCAUUUUAUCUCUAUGAGCCUUAGUUUCCUCUCCUGCAAAUUAAGAAAAUAUCAUAAUGUUGUCAUUGAGGUUUCUCAUUAAGUGUUAAGUGAUUUUGAUGCAGCUCCCCCUGUUCCUGACCAGGAAAGGACAAAUACAGCAAAUCUCAAGAUUAUACCAUCACUUAGCCUUUGUUGCUGGGUGGUCUGUGCCUUGGGUCAACUGGCUCUUCUAUUGGACAAGUGGAUCAAGGGCCUGGUGACCCCUUCCAGGUUGAGGAUAGGAUAAUGGAAAAUGUCAGGGUAAUGGAAAAAUUACCAGAGGUCAAGUGGAGGUAGAGAUGAGAUGGCAAAUAUAAGACUAUCCAAUGCAGCCAAGAAAUCACCUAUCACUCAGCACAUUUACCACUUCCUACAGUGAAAUAGAAAGUGUCCUUGACCUCCAUCAGAUGGGAAUUGUCCCUCUCUGAGUCAUCUAGAUUUUAUGACACCUGGCUCAAAUCCUUCUCCUUUUCCUCCUCUUCUCUGCCUCUAUUCCCACUCUUUGGAAUAGAUAUGGGAACCAUCCUCUGUGGGGCUCUGCCAGGCCUCCUGAUUUUCACUCUCUUUAUCAAUAUUUAUGGCUAUGUUAGGAGGAUAGUUGAUCUUCAACAUCUCAACUUGUCUCUUCAGCCUAGAUUUUAGUAAAUAUGGAAGGGGGCACUGAAAUUUGUUGAAUACUGAGCAUAUGCUAAACACACAUCCAAAUACAUUACACUUGUUUUGUCUAAUUCAUGCAAAGGCCCUAUAAACACUUCACAGAUUAGAAAACUAAGGUUGAGAGUAACUUAUGAAAAGUCACAUAGUUAAGAAGCAACAGAGUCAGUAAUUGGGCUUUCUGACUCCAAAUCCAAUAUCCUUGGAACUAUGAGCACCUCUUGGUAAGCCUAACCCUCUGCCUCCACCUCAAUCAGGUCUAUGGAGAAAAGGGUCCCCAUCUGGUUAUAUAUAUAUAUAAACUAGUAAACAUUCUCAUCAAGAAGGGCCAGAUGAGGAAACAAUUACAGAUAACUUUCACUCACACUCACACUCACACUAGGCAUUCUUUUAGCUAUCAUUCCUUACCCCAGGUGAUCAGGGAGCAGCUACCAAUGACUCCUGUUUUCAGUGUCACUCUGCAGAUCUCUCAGCCUCUCAGCAUCUGCCUGAAUAAGAUAUCUUCCCUGGCCUGAACCAGAUGCCAAGGAAUAUAUUCCUUUCUUUCUUAUUCCCAUCCUGAUGCCCCUGGCAUGACCAGCUCUCACCUUUAUUCUUAGUCUAGAGUCCCCUGGUAGGCAGACUGGCAGAAGUACACUGAUUUUUCCUAUCUGUAUGGAGUAAAUCUACCUAGAAGGAAAGCAACCUUGGUCUUAUACCCACCUAUAGAUGUCAGAAAUUGAGUCUAAAUGUCCAACUCCUGUGUGCCCCUCAUUGUUUUCCCUGUAUGAAGUUAGUCAAGGUUUCUAAAAAAUAGGCCACCAAAGUCGAUUAAUUUCUGACAUUUGGCUGUGGCCUGGCUAAAACCUGUACCUUGGAAGAAUGGAGAGCCAGCCAGUUCUGAGAGCUCAGUCACAGCUACUCUGGGAGCCCACAGCUUGUGCCUGGCCCAUUCCCUAACCCUGCAGUUUUAUUAGCUUCAUUUUUUUAUGUGCUUUUUAACUCUCUGAAUGCAGCCAAAACCAACAUCAAAUAACUUCAAGGAACACAAGGUCAUGAUUCCCCCAACCGCUAGUGCUCAGCCCCCCAAGUCACUUAGGAGCAGGGUGGGCAGAAUACACCACAGUUUUCCCCCUGCCUGUCUUUUCAGAGGGUGGGGGAGACUGCUGCUGCUCUGUGAGCUAUUCUCAGACACUGCCGCCUCAGAACUCACUGUGAGAGACGGUUUUGGGUCACCAUAACCCAGGGAGCAGAAGGAGGGAAAAGGGGGGUUAGAAAACCCAGCCAGCAAGCAAUACACAGAUCUCAGCCUCCCUGAGGCCAUGAGUGCUGGGCCUAAUGGUCCUGGCCAGUGCCUGCUGGGAGGGACUGUUGGAGAAACCAACCCCCUACCUCCCUGCCUCUUGCCUCCCUCCUUUCUUUUCUUCCUCUUUCCUUUCUUAUUUCCUUCCAGGGCCAGCUAGGAACAAGCAUUCCAGCAGGCCUCCAGAUGGGCUGCAAAUCCCAACCACCCCAAGGGAUUCACCAGUCCCUUCUCUUUAGCUCUUAGGUAGUGAAGCCAAGAGCCACAGACAGGUCUGGGAAGUUUCCCAGCCUUGCAAGCUCGGCACUGGGCCUGAAAUAAGAUGCAGAAGCAAGCUAUCUGAGCUGAAGGAGUUUCCCAGCCUAAGAAAAUCAGAAAACCAGUUCGAAUUAUAGCUUUCCCGACCUCCGGUGCUGGGAGGUAUAGGUAGGACGCUAGGACUGACUGGCAGAGGUUUGGCCUUUUAGUCAAAAGCCAUGGGUUUUAGUCCUGACUGUAACCUUGAAAAGUACUUUUCCUUUCCUGGUCUCAGAUUCUCCCAGAAAUACAGCAACUCCCCCUAAAUAUAUUCUGCUAAAGUGGAACAUUUCUAAUUUUUUAAAAUAGAUAAUAUGUUGACAUUUUGCUUGCUAAGAUUUUUAUGGAGAUUUUAGAGGCAGCAAUAUAAAACAAGACCAUGUGGCAAAAAGAAGUCAAAUCUAGAAUUUUUGUUAUGUGCUUGCUGCCUUAGCAAACAAGGAUUAGGCCUGCUGUUAUGCCCCCCUUUCCAUUAGAAUCUGGCUUAGUGAGGUGUCCCCAUUUGUAAUGUAGACAAAGGGUCUCUAUUAUUAUAUAGCCUCUGAGUUUUCUUCCCUGGCCCUUCUUGAUGAGAAUGUUUACUAGUUUAACAAUUUCCUCUAUGGAUAAGUAUGAAUCCACAUAUUUAUAAAUUCUCUAUUUCUAUCUCUAUAUAUACUUAUCUACCUGUGUCUAUUAAACCUAGCAUUUAGAACAUGAGUUCCUCAUCAAUUAACUGGAUGACAAAUCCUAUUUUGACUGUAAUCACUUUUUUGAGGGACUUUUUUCUCAUAAAAUAAAUUCAAAAUGUAAGUUAAUUAGUUCACUUUGUCCACUGGUAAGUAACAGGAACAUAUAAAUAACAUAUCUCUCCUUCAAAUGAGGAAGCAUUAUUAAUAUAUUAUAGAUAAAACUAUGUUAUAGCCCAUGAAACCUCCCCACUCAGAAUCUAUAGUAGAUGCUCAGAUAUCCAGUCAGAGGUAAUAUUUCUUCUGCAGACAGGUCAGCUAAUAUAGAAAUUCUAGUUCAAGUCCCCUCUCCCACCAUUUUAGGCAUUGAAGAGUUAGAGACGGGAAAGGAGAAAGUAGAAGGAAACUCCUAAAGCUCUUGUGGCUUCUAACACAGAACAGGGAGAUAGGCAAGAGAGGAAGCAUUUAGUUCACCUUCCCAUUUUUCUCUUCAUUUAUCAGGUUAUAUCAGAAGUUCCCAAACUUUCUUGGUUACCCAUGCCCUUAGCAUCUCAGUGACAUUUUUCACUGUGCCUCUAAGCCAAAAGAAAUAUUAAAUAGGUCCAUUUAUCAUACAGUUAAGUUGAAAUAAAUCAAUAAGUAUUCAUGUCCUAAUAAUUUAGUAGCUUCUUUAAAAUAAUGCACGUAUAUUGAAAGAAAAAUAUUAAUACAUACAAUAAUAUACAGUAAAAUAUUACUUAAUUUUAAAUAGUCAUAUUCUGAGCAGUGGACAACUUCUCAGAUCUUUGAAACAGAUUGGAUAACACCACCAUAAUUUCCUGUUUCAUAUGGAUUUUCACAUAGUACUAGAUUUUUAUCAUGGCAGCCAUCAAAAAGAAUAUAGCUCAAUCGAGUGUUGAAACUAUGAACUACCUCAAGCUAAUAGCUUGCAGGAUGUCUGACAGAUGUCAAACACUACUGUGUUUCCCUCAUAAAAAUUAAAAUAUAUCACAUGCCCCUGUGAGUUCUCUGUGGUACCCUGAAGAACCUCAACUCAUAAUUUAGCAACUCCAUGCUUAUAUGAUCCUGAACAUUCUUGGUCCUAACUUCCUCCUCUUUCCCUCUACUGGAUGAAAUGUCUUUCCUUACUUCUAUUUCCUCAACACUUUGUUUGUUGUAAUUGCAAUCUUAAAUAAAAAGUAUGUCUAUAUAAUU